rnacentral:tRNA from 1 species
GGGGAUGUAGCUCACUUGGUAGAGUGCUUGCUUUGCAUGCACAAGGCCCUGGGUUCAAUCCCUAGCACAACCA